rnacentral:lncRNA from 1 species
UUUAAACUUCCUUCCUUCCUUUCUUUCCUUUUUCUUCUUCUUUCUUUCCCUUUUUCCUUAUUUCAUUCCUCUUUCUUAUUCUCCCUACCUUACUUUUUUUCUUCUUUCUUUCAUUUCUUCUGUCCUUCUUUCUUUCUUUCCUUUCUUCUUUCCCUUUUUUUAUUUUUUUCUUCUCCCUUCCUUCCUUUCUUCCCUUUUUCUUCUUCUUUCCUUCCUUUCUAUUCUUCAUUUUCCCUUGAUUUCUUUGUAACUUUUCUUCUUGUUUCCUUCCUUUCUUUUUGCUUUUUCUUCUUCUCUCCUUUCUUUCUUUCCUUCAUCUUUUUUCUUCUUUCCCCAUGUGGAUGAGUUUCAGAUUCCCACCCCAC